GACGAGGGGUCCUAGCGUUGUUCGGAAUCAUUGGGCGUAAAGCGUGUGUAGGCGGCCUAGCAAGUCAGUUGUGAAAGCCCCGGGCUCAACCCGGGAAGUGCUUCUGAUACUGCUUGGCUUGAGUACUGGAGAGGAUAGUGGAAUUCCAGGUGUAGUGGUGAAAUACGUAGAUAUCUGGAGGAACACCGGUGGCGAAGGCGGCUAUCUGGCCAUGUACUGACGCUGAGGUGCGAAAGCGUGGGGAGCAAACAGG
rnacentral:rRNA from 1 species